CGACAGAUGGUUUAUAACUUCAUUUAUUCAUCUUAAGUGCUUUAGCGGAAGCUUCAUGGAGAGCCUUCGAGGAAGAGAAAACACGGCCUAAUAAAGGCGUCCAGGGGAUUGAUGUUUCAAAUAUAAACUUACACUAGUGUUGUAUACGCUAAUAUAAAAACUAAUAUUUGAUAUAUUUGUUAAAUCUUACCGUGGUUGUAGCUGUGUUGGCUAACUAACGUUACUCAUAAAGCUGGCCUGAGCCACAUGAGGAGACAGGAAAGUUACUCUAACUAUGGGCUAGUAACUAGUUAGUCUAUUACUGACUGUUUAGUGAUGGUUUACAUCGAUUCAGCGGGGAUUAUCCCACCAAAAUAUCUCUAGUUAUCUCCAAACAACCACCACGUCGCUGCAUAAUAACAGACAGAGGUCUGACUAGUUAGCUAGCCACCGUUACUUACAAUAAGAAGCUCAUUUCCGUUAACUUUGCUUCGAGCGAAGCUUCCAGACAGCGUGAAGUCGAGGAUUCCCAACAGAAAUUCUUCACCCAAGUCUUGUUUAAGGAUCAAACCGAUGUAAACAACGUAGUCCCAAAGUUUCAAAACUUUAAUCUAAGCGAACAUGAAACCGCGCUGGAACAGGAAGUGUUUACAACCGCCGCAGAGAAAAAGGAAACAGCAAAGACGACAGAGUCCGAUGUUGUUGCCAAAAUCGCACAGUAUGAGCUGCUAGUGCGAGUGCAUUUAGAGCUGUUAGUGCGAGUGCAGUUAGAGCUGUUAUUGCAGUUAGAGCUGUUCGUGCGAGUGCAGUUAGAGCUGCUAGUGCGAGUGCA
ensembl:lncRNA